CACGGAGUUAGCCGAUCCUUAUUCUCACGGUACAUUCAGCCCGGUAUACAUACCGGGGGUUAUUCCCGUGCAAAAGCAGUUUACAACCCGUAGGGCCGUCUUCCUGCACGCGGCAUGGCUGGUUCAGGGUUCCCCCCGAUUGACCAAUAUUCCUUACUGCUGCCUCCCGUAGGAGUCUGGUCCGUGUCUCAGUACCAGUGUGGGGGUUUCUCCUCUCAGAGCCCCUAGACAUCGUCGCCUUGGUGGGCCGUUACCCCGCCAACCAGCUAAUGUCACGCGAGCCCAUCCGUCCCCUAUGAAUAUUUAAAUGAAGGCCCAUGCGGACCUGCAUUCUCAUGCGGUAUUAAUCCGGAUUUCUCCGGGCUAUCCCCCGUGGGACGGGCAGGUUGCUCACGCGUUACGCACCCGUGCGCCACUCUCACGGGGACCGAAGCCCCCGGAUCCCGUUCGACUUGCAUGUAUUAGGCCUGCCGCUAGCGUUCAUCCUGAGCCAGGAUCAAACUC
rnacentral:rRNA from 1 species